GAUGAACGCUGGCGGCGUGCCUAAUACAUGCAAGCCGAGCGAACGGACGAGAAGCUUGCUUCUCUGAUGUUAGCGGCGGACGGGUGAGUAACACGUGGAUAACCUACCUAUAAGACUGGGAUAACUUCGGGAAACCGGAGCUAAUACCGGAUAAUAUUUUGAACCGCAUGGUUCAAAAGUGAAAGACGGUCUUGCUGUCACUUAUAGAUGGAUCCGCGCUGCAUUAGCUAGUUGGUAAGGUAACGGCUUACCAAGGCAACGAUGCAUAGCCGACCUGAGAGGGUGAUCGGCCACACUGGAACUGAGACACGGUCCAGACUCCUACGGGAGGCAGCAGUAGGGAAUCUUCCGCAAUGGGCGAAAGCCUGACGGAGCAACGCCGCGUGAGUGAUGAAGGUCUUCGGAUCGUAAAACUCUGUUAUUAGGGAAGAACAUAUGUGUAAGUAACUGUGCACAUCUUGACGGUACCUAAUCAGAAAGCCACGGCUAACUACGUGCCAGCAGCCGCGGUAAUACGUAGGUGGCAAGCGUUAUCCGGAAUUAUUGGGCGUAAAGCGCGCGUAGGCGGUUUUUUAAGUCUGAUGUGAAAGCCCACGGCUCAACCCGUGGAGGGUCAUUGGAAACUGGAAAACUUGAGUGCAGAAGAGGAAAGUGGAAUUCCAUGUGUAGCGGUGAAAUGCGCAGAGAUAUGGAGGAACACCAGUGGCGAAGGCGACUUUCUGGUCUGUAACUGACGCUGAUGUGCGAAAGCGUGGGGAUCAAACAGGAUUAGAUACCCUGGUAGUCCACGCCGUAAACGAUGAGUGCUAAGUGUUAGGGGGUUUCCGCCCCUUAGUGCUGCAGCUAACGCAUUAAGCACUCCGCCUGGGGGGUACGACCGCAAGGUUGAAACUCAAAGGAAUUGACGGGGACCCGCACAAGCGGUGGAGCAUGUGGUUUAAUUCGAAGCAACGCGAAGAACCUUACCAAAUCUUGACAUCCUUUGACAACUCUAGAGAUAGAGCUUUCCCCUUCGGGGGACAAAGUGACAGGUGGUGCAUGGUUGUCGUCAGCUCGUGUCGUGAGAUGUUGGGUUAAGUCCCGCAACGAGCGCAACCCUUAAGCUUAGUUGCCAUCAUUAAGUUGGGCACUCUAAGUUGACUGCCGGUGACAAACCGGAGGAAGGUGGGGAUGACGUCAAAUCAUCAUGCCCCUUAUGAUUUGGGCUACACACGUGCUACAAUGGACAAUACAAAGGGCAGCGAAACCGUGAGGUCAAGCAAAUCCCAUAAAGUUGUUCUCAGUUCGGAUUGUAGUCUGCAACUCGACUACAUGAAGCUGGAAUCGCUAGUACUCGUAGAUCAGCAUGCUACGGUGAAUACGUUCCCGGGUCU
rnacentral:rRNA from 1 species